AUACAGACACUAGCAACUAGAGAAACAGACACACCUGGACUGGGAGAUACAGACACUAGCAACUAGAGAAACAGACACACCUGGACUGGGAGAUACAGACACUAGCAACUAGAGAAACAGACACACCUGGACUGGGACACUUCUGACCUGGGAAAAUUAGAAAUCAAUCAACUUCAUUGACAUUGUGUACUUCCGGGGACCUGUAUGACAUCACCAUGACAACCCUGUUAUGACCGUAACAGGGUCAGAAAUGGCCAAUGAGAUGCUGCCCUGCUCCGAGACAGGGCUGCAGUGUCCAUGCUGUACAAAUUGACCAGGUGAGAUUGAGAGGGAGGUGUCUCCAUGGUGAUGUGGCUUCAGUGUUCCAUCUGUCUCUGGAUCUUCCUCUGGCCUUCAGCAGGGUGUCUCUCCCCCCCUCAGAAUGUGACUGUAGAGUUUCUGGACUUCCAAGGGAGAGUCCACUGGCUGGCUGGAGCUGGCAACACCAACCAUACCCACUACUCUGUAGAGAUGCGAGCACUCAGUUUAAUGGGAGGGGUUCAGUAUGUGCCUUUCUGCGUGUGGUUGGAUGACUGGAUGGCUGGAUGACUGGAUGGAUAGAUGACUAGCUGGCUGGAUGACUAGAUGGCUGGAUGACUGGAUGGCUGGAUGACUGGAUGGAUGGAUGACAGGAUGGAUGGA